AUUGAAAAUAGAAGUCACCCCUGACCUCCUCAAGUGCCACAAAAAAUUUCCCAAGCUUGUGUGACAUCAGUCCCAUCAAGUUUCCAUGAUGCUACGCCCUGAGAGAGGUGAAGGUUAUGUGGUCAAACUCCAUGGCCUACCAUGGUCCUGCUCAAUUGAGGACGUACAAAACUUCCUCUGACUGUACAAUUCAUGAUGGUAUGGCAGGUGUUCAUUUCAUUUACACUAGAGAAGGCAGGCAGAGUGGUAAGUCUUCCAUUGAACUUGAGUUGAACUUGAUGAUAUAAAGUUGGCUCUGGAAAAAGAUAGGGAAAUCAUGGGAACUGGUAUAUUGAGGUGUUCAAGUCACACAGAACUGAGAUGGAUUGGGUAUUGAAGCACAGUGGUCCAAACAGUACUGACAUAGCCAAUGAUGACUUUGUGGGACUUCAAGGACUCCCAUUUGGAUACACAAAGUAAGAAAUCAUUCUGUUCUUUUUAAGAUUGGAACCUUUGCAAAAUUGUACCUAUGAACCCAGAGGGCAAGAUUACAGGGGAGGUGUUUGUGCAAUUUGCCUCACAGGAGUUAGCUGAGAAAGCUGUAGGGAAGCACAAGGAGAGAAUGGGGUACAGGUAUAUUGAAGUGUUCAAGAGUCAGAAGGAAGUAACUUCUGAAGUUCAUGUCUGUGCAGAGGUCUGGGCCCUAUGACCAGCCUGGCACAGCCAGGAGGUACACUGGCAUUGUGAAGUAGGCAGGCCUGGAUAGGGUGAAGUCUAGUGCCUAUAGUGCAGACUAUGGGGGCUACGAAAAAUACAGUGGCCUCAGUGAUGGCUACAGCUUCACCACUGGCAUUUUUGGGCAAGACCUCAGGAAUGUAUGACCACAGAUCUGGAGACAGGGAGUUCACAGUACAGAGCACCAGCCACUGUGUCCACAUGAGGGAGCUGCCCUACAAAGCAACAGAGAUCAACAUUUACAACUUCUCUCCACUCAACCCCAUGAAGGUUCGUAUUGAGACUGACCAUGAUGGAAGAGUGACAGGCAAAGCUGAUGUUGAGUUUCCCAUCAUGAAGAAGCUGUGGCAGUUAUGUGGAAGGAUAGGGCCAACAUGCAACAUAGGUAAUAGAACUCCUCCUGAAUUCAGCAAUGGGGCUUAUAGCAGUCAGGUGAUACAGGGCAUGGGUGUAUCAGCAGCCCAGGCCACCUAUAGUGGCCUGGAAAGACAGUCAUUGAGUGGUUGUUAG